rnacentral:lncRNA from 1 species
CUUAUAUAGUUUGUUUUAUAGCCUCGCUUCUUUGAUCCCGUCUAUGCCUUGCCGAUUCGAUCCCGUCUACGCCCUGCCGCUUCGAUCCCGCUCCUGACUCUUCGAUCCCAUCUACGAUCCCAUCUGUUGCCUCUAAUGCCCCGGACGAUUCCGUCCGUCUCUUUGAUCCUGUCCCCGUCCAUUCAAUCCCUUUGAUCCCUUUGAUCCCUUUUGUUGCCGAUUUGGUUUGCUUUCAUCGCCGCCUUGAUUUUGUGACUGUGUUGCUUACGAAGGAUUUCUUCAUGCCGUUUACAUUACUUCAGAGUCUAUAUAAUGAGGCUUGGAUGGUUUCCCUCUAUGCUGCCGAAAUCAUUUUCUCCUGUAAGCGAAAAUUUAGCGGCACUUAAUCUGACAAUACACUGGUGGAUCUGAAUCAUUUGGUUCUCCCGAUUUCAUGCUUGCUAGUGUUCGGUUCGUUAACCGCCCUAAUGCUAUCUACCCUUUUUGCCCCACGCAAGACUGUCCAGUAUAUAAAACCUCCCGUCUUUUCUUCCUACUUUUUUGCUCCCCUUAGGCUCGCUGGUGUUCGGCUCGUUGAUAACAUUUAUUACUAUCUACCUAGGGGUGUAAUGCGGGCAGCGCUAGGCUAACACGGUCCGCAUCAGCAGGGCG